AUACUUACCUUGUUCCGAUUUCCCAAGCUCAAGAUUCUGGGAAAUCAGCGCGGACGGCCUGCAUUGCACAUCGCGGUGUCGUCCUCGCUCCAUUGUCCUUCGGGGCCAUGGGGGGCGCAAUUUUUGAUUUCCACCCCUGUUGGUGCU
rnacentral:snRNA from 19 species